rnacentral:rRNA from 1 species
UACGUAGGGGGCAAGCGUUGUCCGGAAUUAUUGGGCGUAAAGAGCGCGUAGGCGGUCCGAUAAGUCGGCUGUGAAAGUCAUGGGCUCAACCCAUGAAAGCCGGCCGAUACUGUCGGACUAGAGUUCGGAAGAGGCAAGUGGAAUUCCCGGUGUAGCGGUGAAAUGCGCAGAUAUCAGGAGGAACACCAAUGGCGAAGGCAGCUCGCUGGGACGUGACUGACGCUGAGACGCGAAAGCGUGGGGAGCAAACGGG